CUACGGAGGAUCCGAGCGUUAUCCGGAUUUAUUGGGUUUAAAGGGUGCGUAGGCGGAGGAGUAAGUCAGGGGUGAAAUGCCGCAGCUCAACUGCGGAACUGCCUUUGAUACUGCUUUCUGGAGUUCGGAUGCCGUGGGAGGAAUGGGCAGUGUAGCGGUGAAAUGCAUAGAUAUUGCCCAGAACACCGAUUGCGAAGGCAUCUCACGAAUCCGAGACUGACGCUGAGGCACGAAAGCGUGGGGAUCAAACAGGAUUAGAUACCCUGGUAGUCCACGCAGUAAACGAUGAUAACUAACCGUCGGCGAUAGAAUGUCGGUGGCCAAGCGAAAGCGAUAAGUUAUCCACCUGGGGAGUACGUUCGCAAGAAUGAAACUCAAAUGAAUUGACGGGG
rnacentral:rRNA from 1 species